AUGCGAGUAGAUGAAUUAGAUUCAUUGCAAACUGCUCAGUAACACGUGGAUAACCUGCCCUAUGCUCUGGAAUAACCUCGGGAAACUGAGAAUAAUACCGGAUAGAUCACAACGCCUGGAACGGUGUGUGGUUGAAAGAUUACGGCAUAGGAUGGGUCUGCGGCGUAUCAGGUCGUAGGGGGUGUAAUGGACCCCCUAGCCAUCGACGCGUACGGGUGUUGGGAGACAUAGCCCGGAGACGGAUUCUGAGACACGAAUCCGGACCCUACGGGGUGCAGCAGGCGCGAAAACUUCACACUGCAGGAAACUGUGAUGAGGGAACUCCAAGUGGAUGCACAUAGUGUAUCUCUUUUCUUUACUAUUAAUCGGUAUUGGAAUAAGGGCUGGGAAAGACCGGUGCCAGCCGCCGCGGUAAUACCGGCAGCUCGAGUGGUCGUCGCUUUUAUUGGGCCUAAAACGUCCGUAGCCGGUUUGGUAAAUCUGUGGGUAAAUCAACUAGCUUAACUAGUUGAAUUCUGCAGAGACUGCCAGACUAGGAACCGGGAGAGGUGUGGGGUACUCAAGGGGUAGGGGUAAAAUCCUGUCAUCCUUUGAGGACCACCAGUUGCGAAGGCGCCACACUGGAACGGAUUCGACGGUCAGGGACGAAGCCUAGGGGCACGAACCGGAUUAGAUACCCGGGUAGUCCUAGGUGUAAACGCUGUGAACUUGGUGUCGGGAGUCCGCAAUGGGCCCCCGGUGCCGGAGUGAAGAUGUUAAGUUCACUGCCUGGGGAGUACGGUCGCAAGGCUGAAACUUAAAGGAAUUGGCGGGGGAGCACUGCAACGCGAGGAGCGUGCGGUUUAAUUGGAUUCAACGCCGGAAAACUCACCAUGGCCGACUGUUAGAUGAAGACCAGCGUAAUGAGCUUGUCGGAUUUUCAGAGAGGUGGUGCAUGGCCGUCGUCAGUUCGUACUGUAAGCGUUCUGUUAAGUCAGAUAACGAACGAGACCCUCAUCUCUAUUUGCUACCCGUCUCUCCGGAGGCGGCGCACU
rnacentral:rRNA from 1 species